rfam:Ciona intestinalis ciona0168, whole genome shotgun sequence.
AACAGAUACGGUGACAUGGUGCCAAAGACAAUCGCCGGCAAGAUAUUCGGCAGCGUGUGCUCAUUAAGCGGCGUGCUCGUGAUUGCGUUGCCAGUCCCUGUCAUCGUAAGUAAC